UUGAGAGAGCUCCUGCGAGCGUGGGGGAGGGGCAGAGGGAAAGGGAAAAUCUCAAAUAAAUUCCAGGCCCAGCACAGAGCCUGAAGCCGGGGCUGGAUUACAGCAUCCUGAGAUUAUGACGCCAGCGGAAAUCAAGAGUUCCACGUUUACCCGUCAGCCUAACUGUGGGAGCCACACAGAGGACCCCCUCCUCAUCCCUCCCCAAAAUGGGGAUGCUUGGGGCAUCUGGGUGGCUCCGUCAGUCAAGACUUGAUUUCGGCUCAGCCCCUGCCAGGUAACCUGCGCUGGCACCAUGGUCACAUCAAGGGCACCUAGAACUGCUAUCGCCAGAGUCAGAUGCCAUUUGCAUUGCCCCCAACACAGGAGCACAGCAAAAUAGAUGUUCCUUUGCUCUGGACUCUUCCUGUUUUCUUCCUGGGGCUGCACAUGCCACUCUUCCCCGCACGCCCCCCUGCCAUUUGGAAAAAUAAAGCAUUCAAUUGACCAUCCACUUAUC